rnacentral:rRNA from 1 species
UACGAAGGGGGCGAGCGUUGUUCGGAAUUACUGGGCGUAAAGGGCGCGCAGGCGGCUCUGAAAGUCAGAUGUGAAAGCCCCGGGCUUAACCUGGGAAUUGCAUUUGAUACUCUGGAGCUUGAGUACGGGAGAGGAUAGUGGAAUUCCCAGUGUAGAGGUGAAAUUCGUAGAUAUGGGGAGGAACACCGGUGGCGAAGGCGGCCAUCUGGACGGUAACUGACGCUGAGACGCGAAAGCGUGGGUAGCAAACAGG